UACGAAGGUCCCAAGCGUUAUCCGGAUUUAUUGGGUUUAAAGGGUGCGUAGGCGGCUUUGUAAGUCAGUGGUGAAAUAUGGCAGCUUAACUGUCAGGGUGCCAUUGAUACUGCGGAGCUUGAGUACAGAUGAGGUAGGCGGAAUUGACGGUGUAGCGGUGAAAUGCUUAGAUAUCGUCAAGAACACCUAUUGCGAAGGCAGCUAACUAAGCUCAAACUGACGCUGAGGCACGAAAGUGUGGGGAUCAAACAGG
rnacentral:rRNA from 1 species